rnacentral:rRNA from 1 species
UACGGGGGGGGCAAGCGUUGUUCGGAAUUACUGGGCGUAAAGCGUGUGUAGGCGGUCCUCUAAGUCGGAUGUGAAAUCCCUGGGCUCAACCCAGGAAGUGCACUCGAAACUGGAGGGCUAGAGUAUCGGAGAGGUUGGUGGAAUUCUCGGUGUAGAGGUGAAAUUCGUAGAUAUCGAGAGGAACACCGGUGGCGAAGGCGGCCAACUGGACGAAUACUGACGCUGAGACACGAAAGCGUGGGGAGCAAACAGG